rnacentral:rRNA from 1 species
UUAAAAUUUAUUUAUUAAUUUUUUUUGUUUAUUAAUUUAUUUUAUUAAAAAUAAUUAUAAAUUUUUUUAUUUUAGUAAUGUAUAAUGAAUAAAUAAUUUUAAUUAUAGUUUAUUAGUAUUGUGAAAGAAAAUUGAAAUAAUUUGAAAAAUUUUUAUUAAAUAAGUAAAUUUAAUUUAUUGUACCUUGUGUAUCAGGGUUUAUCAAUUAAAGAAUAAAUUUUUAUUAUUCUCGAAUUUAAAAGAGUUAAUAAAUUAUUAAAGUUAAUGUAAUAAAAUUAUUUUUUAUAAUUUAUUAGAAAUGAAAAGUUAUUCGUUUUUAAAUAUAUCUAGUUUUUUUAGAAAUAAAUUUAAUUUAUAAUUAAAAAAUUUACAAAACUAUUUUAUUAGUUUUUUAAUUUUUUAAUUAAAUAUUUUAUGGGAUAAGCUGUAAAAUAAAUUUUUAAAAAUUAUUAAUAAUAUUAUUUAAAUAUAUGUUUAGAAUUAGCAAUUAUUUAUAAUUUUGUUAUAAAUUAUUAAUAAAUUUAUAUUAUUUAAUUUAUUUUAAAUUUUUAUAAAAAUUUUAAUUUUUAUUAUAUAAAUUAAUUAAUAAUGAUAAAAUUAGUAUAUAUUAAUUUAAAAAUAAAUUUUUAUGAUAAGUUUUUAUAAAGAACUCGGCAAAUUUAAUGUUCGCCUGUUUAACAAAAACAUGUCUUUUUGAAUUAAAUAAAAAGUCUGACCUGCCCAUUGAUAAUUAUUUAACGGCCGCAGUAUCCUAACUGUGCAAAGGUAGCAUAAUCAUUAGUCUUUUAAUUGAAGGCUGGAAUGAAUGGUUGGACGAAAUAUUAACUGUUUCAUAUAAAUUUAUAAUAGAAUUUAAUUUUUUAGUCAAAAAGCUAAAAUUUUUUUAAAAGACGAGAAGACCCUAUAAAUCUUUAUAUUAAAUUAAUAAUUAAUUUUUUAGAUAUUUUUUAUUAUUUAUUUAUUUAAUAUUUUAUUGGGGUGAUAGUAAAAUUUAAUAAACUUUUAUUUUAUUUAUAACAUUGAUUUAUGAAUAAUUGAUCCAUUAUUAAUGAUUAAAAAAUUAAGUUACUUUAGGGAUAACAGCGUAAUAUUUUUGGAGAGUUCUUAUUGAUAAAAAUGAUUGCGACCUCGAUGUUGGAUUAAGAUAUAAUUUUAGGUGCAGAAGCUUAAAUUUUGAGUCUGUUCGACUUUUAAAUUCUUACAUGAUCUGAGUUCAAACCGGUGUGAGCCAGGUUGGUUUCUAUCUUUAAUAAAUUAAAAUAUUUUAGUACGAAAGGACCAAAUAUUUAAAUAUUUAUAUUUUUUAUAUUGAAUAUUAUUAAUUUAU